GGAUGAACGCUGGCGGCGUGCUUAACCCAUGCAAGUCGAACGGAAAGGCCUCUGCUUGCAGGGGUACUCGAGUGGCGAACGGGUGAGUAACACGUGGGUGAUCUGCCCUGCACUUCGGGAUAAGCCUGGGAAACUGGGUCUAAUACCGGAUAGGACAAUGGUUUGGAUGCUGUUGUGGAAAGUUUUUCGGUGUGGGAUGAGCUCGCGGCCUAUCAGCUUGUUGGUGGGGUAAUGGCCUACCAAGGCGUCGACGGGUAGCCGGCCUGAGAGGGUGUACGGCCACAUUGGGACUGAGAUACGGCCCAGACUCCUACGGGAGGCAGCAGUGGGGAAUAUUGCACAAUGGGCGCAAGCCUGAUGCAGCGACGCCGCGUGGGGGAUGACGGCCUUCGGGUUGUAAACUCCUUUCGCUAGGGACGAAGCGUUUUUGUGACGGUACCUGGAGAAGAAGCACCGGCUAACUACGUG
rnacentral:rRNA from 1 species